UCUGUCUGUCUGUCUGUCUGUCUGUCUGUCUGUCUGUCUAUCUAUCUAUCUAUCUAUCUAUCUAUCUAUCUAUCUAUCUAUCUAUCUAUCUAUCUAUCUAUCUAUCCCGUCGCACCAUGACCUUAUUAUUAGUGGUAUUCAGUUACUCAUAUUAAAGCAGUCAUCACACGUUAUAUUUUAGAUACAUUUCCAUUUUUUUCCUGUUUUCUUGAUUUUACAUUUUAAUAUCACGAUUAAAUAUUAAAAACAAUUUCAAGAAGUUUCCCCGGACAUUAAUUAAACCGUUAACCCACUUCUUCAUGUCAAAGCAUUAUUUACUAAUUACUUUGAAUAAUUUAGUGACUACAGCUCCCAUGGUUCCUGGGAGUUUCAAUAAUUUAUAAUCAUUAAAUUAAUGUUUAAUACGUUGUUAAUAUUCGUUAAACUAUUAAACUGACCUGGGAGAACAUAUGAAUAUUCAUGAGUAUGCCAUUUAAAAAAGUUCUAGAUAAACCGCUAGUGUGCUAGUUAGCCUGUGUUACAAGAUAGAAUUUGGAAUCUUAGUCAAAAGAUGUUACCAUGACAACCACAAUUUGUUUGUUAGCUAAGGCUAAUUUGCAUAUUUAUGGACCGGGGGAGGAAACCGGAGUACCCGGAGGAAACCCCCGAGGCACGGGGAGAACAUGCAAACUCCACACACACAAGGCGUAGGUGGGAAUCGAACCCACAACCCUGGAGGUGUGAGGCAAUCAAACUGAUGAACAAAAGAAAAUACACUCUGGCUGGGAGACAUUUUUAUAUAAGUUUCUUAUCAUUCAUUUUCUCUGUGAUUUUCUCUCAGCUGGUCACGGAGGAGAUUGUGUCAUAGUUUUGUGAACACGACUCGGGUGAACGUUCCCGCGUUCGGUGCUGAUCAAAGGCUAUCUCCAGUAUGACAUAUGGAUCAGUGGACACUAAUGAGGGAGCCGUGGCCAGCUGAAUCUCCACGGCAACAAAGAGCCUGGGACAUCUGGAGAGAGACGCACACACAUAUGCACGCGCACACACUCACACACAUGCGCGCACACACACACACACAUCACGCACACACACCCAUCACUGUUGUGUGUGUGUGUGUGUGUGUGUGUGUGUGUGUGUGUGUGUGUGUGUGUGUGUGUGUGUGUGUGCACGUAGGCAUAGGAGUACUGAAAAUGUAAAUGUUCUAAUUAUAAUCCUUUUCCACUGGAAAACAGUGUGUUACAGUAACAAACAAUUUUGCUGUUAUUUCGACUCCCGCUUGUACCCUAUCGUACCAUACCUAGGUACCUGUGCUGAAUUUGCUCACUUCUCUUUUUGUCUUUAACCGUAAAUGUCACAGACUCAUCCUGACAGAGUCUGUUGCUGGUUGUCUGUCAGGUUCAUCAUGGCAGCAUCAUGCUUUACUUGUAAUCUUUUUUAUGUCUAUAUUUACCUGCAUUUUAACUUAUAUUCUUCUAGCAGAUAAUCUGCUAUUUUCACUCAAUCCCAAAAGACAUCAGUUCACUGUACUUGCUCUCUAGAUAGGGUACAACACCGUGAUCCAACAGAUCCUUUAUACAGGUACAGUAAGUCCACACAUACAACACAACAAUGUCACUGUCAAGAGUAUCAAAAUCUUCCAAAAAGCACAACUCUGAGAUUAUCUGUACAGCUUGAUGAUGGACUGUAAUAAACCUGCUCUAAUGUCCCCUGUGACUGUCUAAUAAAUAAAUCUUUAUCACA